rnacentral:rRNA from 1 species
GACGAACGCUGGCGGCGUGCCUAAUACAUGCAAGUAGAACGCUGAAGAGAGGAGCUUGCUCUUCUUGGAUGAGUUGCGAACGGGUGAGUAACGCGUAGGUAACCUGCCUUGUAGCGGGGGAUAACUAUUGGAAACGAUAGCUAAUGCCGCAUAACAAUGGAUGACACAUGUCAUUUAUUUGAAAGGGGCAAUUGCUCCACUACAAGAUGGACCUGCGUUGUAUUAGCUAGUAGGUGAGGUAACGGCUCACCUAGGCGACGAUACAUAGCCGACCUGAGAGGGUGAUCGGCCACACUGGGACUGAGACACGGCCCAGACUCCUACGGGAGGCAGCAGUAGGGAAUCUUCGGCAAUGGGGGCAACCCUGACCGAGCAACGCCGCGUGAGUGAAGAAGGUUUUCGGAUCGUAAAGCUCUGUUGUAAGUCAAGAACGAGUGUGAGAGUGGAAAGUUCACACUGUGACGGUAGCUUACCAGAAAGGGACGGCUAACUACGUG